AUGAUCACCCCCAAAUUGUGUGGGAGUGAGUUGGGCCCCCGUGGCUGCUGCUGAUUGGUCAAGAUAGAGUUACGCGGACCAAUAAGAAAAAGAAAGGAAAUCUGAUGGCCUAUGGGAAGAGAACAGCAGACUGAGCCCACGUUGGGCACACUGGAGACAAAGAGACAAGAAUACCCAGCCCUCGCUUUCCAGAAGUUCACAGUCUGGAAGGGGAGACAGCUAGAAACAGCUACAUCCAAGUGUGAUGAAUAUGGUGGCAGAGUUGCAGCCACCAUGCUGUGAGGAAGCCCAAGCAGUCCUGUGGGGAGGCCCCUGGAGAGGAGAAUCGAGGCCCCAGCCAACAGCCAGAACCUACUCGCCAGUUGUGCAAGUGAGCCACCUUGGAAGUGAAUCUUCCAGCCCCAGUUGAGCUGUUCCAGACGACGCCACAUGGAGGAGAGAAGAGCUGCCCACGCAAGGCCUUGCCCAAAUUGCAAAGUGGUGAGGAAAUAAAUGAGUGUU